AACGAACGCUGGCGGCGCGUCUUAAGCGUGCAAGUCGAACGGCAAGGUUAGUGCUUGCACUAAUCCUAGAGUGGCGGACUGGUGAGUAACGCGUGGGUGACGUACCCUUCUGAUGGGGAUAGCUACUAGAAAUAGUAGCUAAUACCGAAUACGAUUCCGUAAGUUAGAGGUGCGGAAUGAAAGGAGCUUGGGCUCCGCGGAGGGAACGGCCCGCGUACCAUGAGCUAGUUGGGGUGGUAAGGGCAUACCAAGGCGAUGAUGGUUACCCGGCCUAAGAGGGUGAUCGGGCACAUUGGGACUGAGAUACGGCCCGGAAUCCUACGGGAGGCAGCAGCUAAGAAUAUUCCGCAAUGGAGGAAACUCUGACGGAGCGACGCCGCGUGGAUGAGGAAGGCCGGAAGGUUGUAAAAUCCUUUUAAGUAUGAGGAAUAAGUUAUGUAGGAAAUGACAUAAUGGUGACUGUAGUACUUGAAUAAGCAACGGCUAAUUACGUGCCAGCAGCCGCAGUAACAC
rnacentral:rRNA from 1 species